AUGGUACAAACAUUAUGGGUCACAGACAACAGCACAACAGUCAGUAAGGUAGAGACAACAACACAUCACACAAAGCAGCCACAACAGUCAGUAAGGUAGAGACAACAAUACAUCACACAAAGCAGCCACAACAGUCAGUAAGGUAGAGACAACAAUACAUCACACAAAGCAGCCACAACAGUCAGUAAGGUAGAGACAACAAUACAUCACACAAAGCAGCCACAACAGUCAGUAGAGACAACAAUACAUUACACAAAGCAGCCACAACAGUCAGUAAGGUAGAGACAACAAUACAUCACACAAAGCAGCCACAACAGUCAGUAAGGUAGAGACAACAAUACAUCACACAAAGCAGCCACAACAGUCAGUAAGGUAGAGACAACAAUACAUCACACAAAGCAGCCACAACGAUCAGUAGAGACAACAAUACAUCACACAAAGCAGCCACAACAGUCAGUAAGGUAGAGACAACAAUACAUCACACAAAGCAGCCACAACAGUCAGUAAGGUAGACAACAAUACAUCACACAAAGCAGCCACAACAGUCAGUAGAGACAGCAAUACAUCACACAAAGCAGCCACAACAGUCAGUAAGGUAGAGACAACAAUACAUCACACAAAGCAGCCACAACAGUCAGUAAGGUAGAGACAACAAUACAUCACACAAAGCAGCCACAACAGUCAGUAAGGUAGAGACAACAAUACAUCACACAAAGCAGCCACAACAGUCAGUAAGGUAGAGACAACAAUACAUCACACAAAGCAGCCACAACAGUCAGUAAGGUAGAGACAACAAUACAUCACACAAAGCAGCCACAACGAUCAGUAGAGACAACAAUACAUCACACAAAGCAGCCACAACAGUCAGUAGAGACAACAAUACAUUACACAAAGCAGCCACAACAGUCAGUAAGGUAGAGACAACAAUACAUCACACAAAGCAGGCACAACAGUCAGUAAGGUAGAGACAACAAUACAUCACACAAAGCAGCCACAACAGUCAGUAAGGUAGAGACAACAAUACAUCACACAAAGCAGCCACAACAGUCAGUAGAGACAACAAUACAUCACACAAAGCAGCCACAACAGUCAGUAGAGACAACAAUACAUCACACAAAGCAGCCACAACAGUCAGUAAGGUAGAGACAACAAUACAUCACACAAAGCAGCCACAACAGUCAGUAAGGUAGAGACAACAAUACAUCACACAAAGCAGCCACAACAGUCAGUAAGGUAGAGACAACAAUACAUCACACAAAGCAGCCACAACAGUCAGUAAGGUAGAGACAACAAUACAUCACACAAAGCAGCCACAACGAUCAGUAGAGACAACAAUACAUCACACAAAGCAGCCACAACAGUCAGUAAGGUAGAGACAACAAUACAUCACACAAAGCAGCCACAACAGUCAGUAAGGUAGAGACAACAAUACAUCACACAAAGCAGCCACAACAGUCAGUAAGGUAGAGACAACAAUACAUCACACAAAGCAGCCACAACAGUCAGUAAGGUAGAGACAACAAUACAUCACACAAAGCAGCCACAACAGUCAGUAAGGUAGAGACAACAAUACAUCACACAAAGCAGCC